rnacentral:rRNA from 1 species
UACGGAGGAGGCAAGCGUUAUCCGGAAUUAUUGGGCGUAAAGCGUCCGCAGGUGGCACUUCAAGUCUGUCGUCAAAGACUGGGGCUUAACCCUGGAAAGGCGGUGGAAACUGAAGCGCUAGAGUGUGGUAGGGGUAGAGGGAAUUCCCGGUGUAGAGGUGAAAUUCGUAGAGAUUGGGUGGAACACCAGUGGCGAAGGCGCCUGCCUGGCUGAUUACUGACGCUGAGACUCGAAAGCAUGGGGAGCAAACAGG